rnacentral:pre_miRNA from 2 species
AGACCAGAUUUUGCAGUUUAUAACGCUACCCACUAAAAGAGUAUAAAUGCAAAAUAUCUGGUUAUG